AGAGCGAACGCUGGCGGCAGGCCUAAAACAUGCAAGUCGAACGGACCCUUCGGGGUUAGUGGCGGACGGGUGAGUAACACGUGGGAACGUGCCUUUUGGUUCAGAACAACUCAGGGAAACUUGAGCUAAUACUGAAUAAGCCCUACGGGGGAAAGAUUUAUCGCCAUUAGAGCGGCCCGCGUUGGAUUAGCUAGUUGGUGAGGUAAAGGCUCACCAAGGCUACGAUCCAUAGCUGGUCUGAGAGGAUGAUCAGCCACACUGGGACUGAGACACGGCCCAGACUCCUACGGGAGGCAGCAGUUAGGAAUCUUGCGCAAUGGGCGAAAGCCUGACGCAGCCAUGCCGCGUGAAUGAUGAAGGUCUUAGGAUUGUAAAAUUCUUUCAGCGGGGAAGAUAAUGACUGUACCCGCAGAAGAAGCUCCGGCUAACUUCGCGCCAGCAGCCGC
rnacentral:rRNA from 1 species